AAUGCCAUCAGUUUGCUGCAGCCAGAAGUUUUAACAAGCUUUUGAAUCUCUUUCUAGUUAAGAUGAAAAUGCAUGUCUGCAAGGUUGAGAAUAAUUUAAAUUUCCGUUGUUUCCCCUUAUCCUAAUCUUAUGUGUUUCAGUUUUUCAUGUUUGAAUUUCCCAUUUGUAAUUCAUGUAUUGGCUUCAAAAUUAUUGAUAAUAAUGUCAAUUUGUUGUUAUUUCAAUUACGCUACUACAUGAACAUCAAGGUUGACAUAAAGUUUGACAUAAUGCCAAGUGGUACUUUAUUAUUGGUUAAUUUAAAAUACAGUCAACUUUUCCAUCAAAUCAUUU
rnacentral:lncRNA from 1 species